AACCUAGCACACCUGCGGUGUGUACCUGCGGAGGGAUCAUCAACAAGGAUGUUAUAUCCGAGGUAUUCGUGGAUUAUUUGUAUUUGAUGGUGGGACUUUCCACCAGCAAUCAUAUAACUAUCUAAUAAAUUAACCUAAAACAAUACAAAACAUAUACAACUUUCAACAACGGAUCU
rnacentral:misc_RNA from 1 species